AUAACUCAAACCACAGGGUACGAAACAUUACCUUCACUUUUCUCAAGACUAUGUUUGUGGUCAAAAUGUUCUGAUCAAGACAGUAACCUUGAAAUACUCCUCUGAAAGUAAAACAAAGUCCCUCUGGCACAGAGAGCAUUCAUGGCUUACAGCUUUAUAUACUUUCAGAGGUCUCCAUUUGAAUGCUUAAGUUGUGCACAGUCGUAUAUAAACUAGAAAUACUUUGUAACUACUGUACACAAUACUAAACUUUAAAAAUUGAGACACUGUUACAUAGUACAUCUCUUUCUAUUAAACAGAACAAUAAAAGACGCAAAACCAAGGGAAGCCAGAUUCCUAGGGAAAUACGUAGGCAGGACAAGCACCACCGAAAUUUAUAAGAGGAAAAUAAUUCUGCCCAUAGCAGCUUAUGUAAGUAAAUUAGAGGACAAAUUUUAAAGUGGUAGGCUUCAACUGACUAGUUUCAGUACUGGAAAUGUUUUUCCUUGUGUACUGAUAAUUGAAGUAAAGUGUGAAAGGAGAGACUAUGCCCUAAAAUAAAUAGUCAUUCUAUUAAACAUUCACAGCAAUUUUAUUUCCUGUUCCUUUCUUACCUUAAAGACCCCAAACACACUACGUAAAACUUAAGGCAACACCAACUACUCUUGGGUUUGCUGACUGGAAUAAAACCAGAAGUCAAAAAGA